GUGUCUGUUGCUAAGGAGAAUGAAAUGUUUGUAACAUGCUAGAGUAGAUUUGGAGCAAUCAGGGCUGCCAGCCAUAAAGCACAGACUGUGCAGUAGUGUAAAACUCCAACAUUA